GAUGAACGCUGGCGGCGUGCCUAAUACAUGCAAGUCGAGCGAAUGGAUUAAGAGCUUGCUCUUAUGAAGUUAGCGGCGGACGGGUGAGUAACACGUGGGUAACCUGCCCAUAAGACUGGGAUAACUCCGGGAAACCGGGGCUAAUACCGGAUAACAUUUUGAACCGCAUGGUUCGAAAUUGAAAGGCGGCUUCGGCUGUCACUUAUGGAUGGACCCGCGUCGCAUUAGCUAGUUGGUGAGGUAACGGCUCACCAAGGCAACGAUGCGUAGCCGACCUGAGAGGGUGACCGGGCACACUGGGACGGAGACACGGCGCGGACUCCUACGGGAGGCAGCAGUAGGGAAUCUUCCGCAAUGGACGAAAGUCUGACGGAGCAACGCCGCGUGAGUGAUGAAGGCUUUCGGGUCGUAAAACUCUGUUGUUAGGGAAGAACAAGUGCUAGUUGAAUAAGCUGGCACCUUGACGGUACCUAACCAGAAAGCCACGGCUAACUACGUGCCAGCCGCCGCAGUAA
rnacentral:rRNA from 1 species